UGUUUGGUGGCUAGUGCUAUGGCUGGGACCCUAUAUGUACUGUUGAUGAAGUUAGGUGCUGUUCUGAGUAUUAUUUGUGGCUGUAGAGUGGCGUUUUGGUUGUCUGCGGUCGUUACUAAAAUUGGUAUAACUGGAGAAGGAAGUGGUUGGCAACAUUCAUCUCUCGACGGGGUGUCUAACCCGGUGUUUGACCCUUAAUUAAUUUUACGCCGGAAUAUCCCUUUAAGCUGCAGUUCUGGGAAAAGGAUGGGUUUUAAAAAAUUUUAGGUUCUGUUUCAGUUUGUCUUUCCUGUCUGUUGCUAAUUUGAAGGGUGUUAACCCUUUUGUUGAAUGAAAACAAUCUGUCAGAAUUGUGAAAAGCUAGAAUGCCAUCCUGGAAUUGGAUGAGCUUCCAUCUAUCUUAUCUUUGUUUCAGUAUUUUCAUACCUACAUAUGCAGAUUUGUGAGUUCCAUCUGGUUAAAUACAAUGGACAUAUCAGACAUAAUACUUGACCCAUCAUCAGGAUAUAGCAGUUCCUAGAUUGAUGAUGGACUAAACAAUAACUGCUUGCUGGUUAGCACUAGUCAGUCCCUUUAUUCUGGAUUAUAUCUGAUCUUUCCCUUUUACCUCUCACAGGUGUGAGUUGCCUGUAAUUUUUUGGAGGACUAAGCGAGAACUAAGCAAGAAGGACAGAAAAGAAAAGAAAGAGCUCACCCCAAAGGAAUUGUUUUGUUGCUUGAUAUCGGGUCCAUAUGCAAGAAAAACUGUUUGCUAAUACGUUCCUUAUAAGCAAACUUAUCGAGUACCAAUAUGUCUCAGUGCCUGUCUUAAUCAUUUAAAUUAUGAAGUGACUAGUUAAAGCUCUACUUUGACCAAACUCUUAAUUCCAGCUUUCACAACUGGACAUUUUUCAUCUUUUUUUCUAUUCCACAGACACAUAGAAGUCAUUACCAGUAUUAUUCAGGUCUCAAAAUACUGUAAAACCUUUCUGUCAGAGUGCUGUCAGUUGUCUAGCAAUCAUUUCUGCUUGCAGAUGAUCAAUUUCUCCUCUAUUGUGAAGCCACCAUCCCACACACAUUGUAGUAAAAUAUCAAAAUAAAUAUUUGAUUUGAUCAUUUUGCCACCAAGCCUCUCCUAGACUGAGGCCAGAGAGGAAGAAGGAAUAAUGGGAAAAUCAGUUAUCAGUCAUAGCUUCAGGGAACAAGGCCACCAUUGUGUUUGAGUUUUUUUUUUUUUUUUGCCAGUGGGGAACAUGAAUCAUGUACACACACACACACACACACACACACACACACACACACACACACACACACACACACACACACACACACACACACACACACAGCCUCUUUCUUUUAAAUGGGGGAUAUUUUCUGCUGAGUCAUUCAGGAAUUGACCGAUGUAAUCAGAUAGGAGCCUGAUGGACAGUAGUCUCUGUCCAUGUUCUGACAGUGUCUGAUGGUCAGAAGCAGGAGUCGAAGGUGAUCCGGUAGAGAACAUGACACAUGCAGUACUCCAUAAUUUCAUCAUGUUUCCCCACAAAUUUGCUGUUUCUUUCAAUAAUUUAAAAGAUGUCAAGUGCUGGAAUUGACCAAAGACAGGUCUAGAGUGUUUUGCUGGGUUAUAACUUGCCAAGAAGUUUUGAGGACUUUGAGUUUGGGAUCAUUCAAACAAGGAAGUGCAAUGGCAUAAAAAGAUACUACACAGAAAGCCUAAAAGGUUAUUUAUAGGCUGUAAAAGGCCCUAAACCUACCAGUGAUCCAAGGGUGUUAAUCCUGUCUUGUGUAAUGAAUUGUAAUCUAUUUUUACCGCAGUUGCAUGUUGACUGGGGAUUCAGAAAUCCAAUAUGUGAAGGUGACUUCCUUGUACCAUUGUGACCAUUGGUUGAAUUUGUUUCAUUUGCAGUUGACUGGUUGUGGUUUACACCACAUUUUUAGCCUUGACAUUUAACUGAGCUUGUGCAGCACUUUUACCUCAAACACAGAUAAUGGUUCUGUUUCCUAGUUCCUCAUUUUUUGAUUAUAUAAUGCUAAAGUUUAAGCAUUUUACAUAGAGAACCUACUGUUUAAUGUUAAUGAGUUAUGGCGAAUUUAAAGAGUCAUCACAGUAACACCUGUGUUCAAUUUCAAAGGUUGUGCUUGUAGCCAUAAUAAUGACUGGGCAUACACACCUGACAGUUGACAACAAUACAAAUCCUUUUGAGAGUUGCAGUGCUGGUUGGGUGAACACAGGAACCUGCAUUACUGGCAGUGUAAGUAUAAAGGGUUUUCUUUAGAUAAAGAGCUGAAUUUGCCACUUUGAAUUUAUACAAAAUAAUACGAUGCAUGAGGAAGUUUAUUAUGCCAGAGUAGACAGUCAGCAAGUCUGUGGCUCCUUCAUGUCAGCCAUGCAUGAAGAACAAAGCUGCCUCAGAGCAGCUGGGAAAAUUUGAGAUUUGAUAAACACCUUUGAAUAUGAUGCAGGAUACACUUGAGCUAAUGCAGAAAUGUGUCUCAUUACAAGAUGCAGUUUUUUCACAUCUCCGCUUCGGCUGCAUUUCUCUGUUUGAGAAGCAGAAAUGAAUUGGUUAUGCUGCUGCCUUUAGUUGCAACAGCCUUUGAACAAAGUUUGCUGGAGUGUUCUGGUGCUACAAAAACUGAACCAGUUUGAAACGACCGACAAGAUUGUGCCUGUUUCAGUAACAAUCGCUUCAAUAAUCCUGGCAGUUAACAAAGUGUAAGGGUGUGACUUGGACAAGGGAGGCAGAGGAUGUUAAAAAGUAAUCUAUAUUUUCAUGUAUAAAAAUGAAUAAAACAAUAAAUCAAAUUGAAUGAUAGUGCUCAGCUGUAUCUGAAACAAAAUGCACUCAGAGAAAAAGAGUAGCCAGAAAAUCCUCACAUUUAGAGCUAGAUCAAGCAAAUAUUUAGUACUAUUUUGUUUUCUGUUAAACUUGAAUGUUGAAUCCAGUUACACACAGUAAGUUUAACUCCAUAUAGGCACCCUUAUAUCUGCUGAAAGAACAACGUGAAACUAGGCCUUGUUCUGUGUUUUAUAAUGGAGAGUUGAUCAUCAAUAAUGACUAAUUUAUUAUGUAUUUUUUAUGUAUUGGUCUCUGCUUUUAUGUCAAUUCUUGGACUUCUUGAAUACUUUAAAGUCACAGUGGUUCAUGAUCUGUAACACACAUGGUUAUUUUUUGCACCCUGAAGAAGUCGGUGAAUGUAUGUCUGUUAUGAACCCUAACUCCUCUGUAAUGGGUUCACCAACAACCUCACUCCUAUCUAACAUGCAAUUAAAAAAUAAUAAAGAACUGCUUCUGAGCAAAUCCGAGCACCUGAUGGUGAUAUAACUAAAUUACGUACAUGAGACUUUAUGCUGCAGCUUCAAGAACAAUCUCUCAGCCUGUGUUCAAGACAGCCAACAGGAAGUCGCCCAUUUCCGGAAGUGGCUUGUGACCUUUACUGAGCGCUUUGUUGAAACGGCGGUUUAAGGGAGGCUGAAGCAGGAAAAAGUUUGCUGUGUUAACUGAGCUGUCACAGGCCUGAAGUUUGUAAAAUGUGUUCAUAAAUUACAGAUUGGCUUCAACAAAGGUGUUAAUUUUUUUAUGUAAUCUUGAUCUUUUGUCAACUGUUUUAUUUAAAUAAAAAGGUUUUGAAUAUUUUGUGCUGAAAGUUUAACUUUACAGCUUCGAAAUGCCGGCCAACCAUAGCAGUGACUCUAAAACUUCUGCUUUGGGCUCAUGAUGACACAUCCUGCUUCUUAAAGCAAUGAUGUGUGAUGCAUCAUAUUUCUGGCUCUGUGCCUCAGUUUUCUCAGUGAAACAUUUGCUUUGUGCUCUUUGACUUGUUUCUCUGACGUCAGGCAUUGCUAAAAAUACAACCCAUACGAAAACAACACACUUCAUGUUUUAUUUGACUGACGCUUUGAUAAUCAUUUGUUAAAGCCUAUUAGCUUGAUGGACCAAAAACUUUGCAAAGAAUGUUAUUAUUUAGCCACACAAAGACCCAUACAGCUCAUUAAAUGGUGUCAAUCUCUGUGUUGCUCUGUCUGCCCUCGUGGCAGUCGUUCUCAGCGCAGUCCUCCAGAAAUAAUGAAGUGAGAAGGGAAGGAGCAGAUCCAGACACUGACUGUACACAGCUAUCUUUGUUAGAGGUUAAAGAGAGUGAAGCGUUGCCUUGUUAGCUGGAGAGAGGAGUUUUAUAGGUGCACAACACGGAGGGCUGACACUGUUUCUGACCCUCAAUAAAAUGUUGUGGCAAUAAAAAGAAAAGCAGUUACCAUAAGUCAGUUCAGCUUUUGAUGGAAAAGUUUGACGUUUUCUAAAUGACACUUUUUGACUUUCCUCCAGGGAGUCAAAUGAGGCUAGUAAUACCUACACUCCUACACCUGUACAGCAGAUACAGACUGGCAGUGUAUGGCAGCAGCUUGUUAGGUUAACGGAAGAUAGAGGUAGAAAAAGAGCCAGCAAAAAUAGAAACUCAGACUAUUCCUCUAACAAUAGACAGAAUAGUCUGUCAUAAGUUUUACUAGAAUUGUGUUCAGACCAAAAAAAAGAUCAUUUUAAAUUAGUUUUAUACAUCAAUUGUGGUUUCUAUGAGCUACAACAUGAGGUCAAAAACCUAACAUAAAAGUCCACCAUUUUAGCUUAGAGGACUAAUAAAGUCAUAAUAGUAGUUCUAGGGUAAGUUGAACCAGUGGCUCAACUGAGAAAGAAAGGAAGUCUGAUGAGAGGAUCAAAGUUUCAGUACAGAUUUUUGAAUUGUGUUACUUUCCAAAAAUACAGCCAUGAAUGUUCUGAAUCACUUAAAGCUAUUCUCAUGUUAAAAUGGCUUUUUACAAAACAGCUUUUUAGCAGGUAUAUGCAAUAAUAAUAAUAACAUUAUUGUACCAGUUAAAUACCAUAUAAUAGAUAAAAAUACACAUGAAUGUGAAGAAGUGACUGUUAUUAAGGGAGAGAGAAGGUGAGGGAGGGUAGGUGGACAGUAGGGGGGAUAGUAGGGAUACGGCUCAACUUACCCCGCUCCUAUGGUCAACUUACCCCAUACACGGGGUAAGUUGACCAUAGGAGACCACUUUUUUGGCAUGCUAUAUUAUCAAGACAGUUAUGUUCACACUUAUUCUGUUGGUUUGCAGGGAUGCACAACAUCUUGAAAUAUAUGCAGAUACACUAGUUAGAGACUUACCUAUGACUGCCUUGAUGUAGUGAUCUGAAAUAUGAAAAAUGGCUCAUCUUACCCCACUCUCCCCUACAUAUAUUACUCAGGACUUAUUGCUUUCCUAAAGUAUUACAACUGAACCUGCACACCUUUCCUUCUUAAACUCACUGUCAUACAACCACCAAUAAAAAUAUGAUCAGUCAAGCAUAAACUGGAAUCAACCAGUGUUAUGUUGUUUGCCUAACUUUAAAGGGAUUAGCCUCUGGUCUUGGCUUCAGUGGAUGCUCAUCAGACCAGGACAGGGUCAGCCAGAUUAGACAUACAGUAGGUAGGCAAACACAGUUUUCUCACAGGUCUGUCGUUUUGAUGCUGUCUGGUGUUGGGCGUCAGCGUUUCUCUCAGCUCUGUUAGAGUGAUAAGUAGUUAGUGAUGAGUGUUUGCCAUUGGCCUGUAAACAGGAAAUGUUGUUUCGCCCAUAGAGCUGAGUCAAGAAGGGGCCCCUGGGAGUAUAGAGCUGUCAGUGUUAGUGUGUGUGCAGUGACAGGGUGACACGGAACUCCUACGUCACUCCAUGCUUGUGACUUUUGGCUUAAAUUUAUCACUUUUGUUUUUAUGUCAGUUUUGUGUUUUGUCACAGUAACUUUAAAUAUGAUGUUUACAGGAACUCGAGGAGCUCAUGAAAUGCACGGACAGGAAUUUUCAACCCUCUCUUUUUGGCUUGUGUGAUGUUCAAGUUUAGUGAAAAGGUCAGCUGCAAUAAACAGACUAGAGAAUGUUUACAUAUAUGAAAAACCAAAAGCUGCUGUUUAAACACGCUGCAGGCUGCUGAGCAUUUCAUCAGGAGAAGGGUUAAAUGUGAAAACUGGAAGUGGAACACCUGCCAUAUGUGGGUGAAAUGAUAUGAAGGCUGCUUCCAAUAUGGCCUGCAGCAGUGGGGCAUGUGUGAAUGAAAUGAAAGGCGGCAUCUGAUAACAGUCACUAUCUAUUAUGCAAACAGCAAUGCCAGUUUGAAACCAUAAUGAAUCCAGAGUGAAUUCUCUCCUACUUACUUUAAUCUUUUCAUCUUUGCGGAGCUGUGAACAGGAAAUGCAGUUUAUAAAUAACUUGCUCAGUUCUUGCUCAGAGGCCAUCAGGGUUAGAUGCAGUAAUGAAUGACAGAUUGCUGUUUCAACUUUGUUGGCGAGAGAGAAAAAAGUUUUGAACGUCAAUAUUCACACUUGCAAAAAAAGCCAACUCUUGAUGCUAGGUGUUUGGAGGAUUUGCUGUUUUUUUAAUGCCAAAAUUAUUAACCAGUUGACCUUUUAAGAGACUCAUCAACCUGCUCACCCUCUCCUGGUCUGUCACACUUGCAAGGAGUAAUGGAAACUGGACAGAUCAGUAAUACUAUCAAAGGUCUCUACUUUCGAAAAGUAACAGACCAACAUUUGCGGCACCUAAAGGGAGCUCCAUGAAUGAAAGAACUUGGCAUGUGUAACUAGUUUUACACACGACUUUGUGCAUCUAGCAUUUGUGUGUUUAUAGACAUACAGUUACCCCCCCCCCCCCCCCCUGUAACUGUAGCAGCAGCAAUGUGGUGGCAGGGACUCUAAAAAUACAUCCCACUGUGUCUUUCAACAGCAAAAACCAGACUAGGUAUUCUUUUUAAAUACCUGGUAUUACUGAGAACAUUAUUGUUAUGUUUUUGGGGGACCAAGCUACUGUGAUGCUUAAAUUGAUGUUUCAUGUUAAUUAUUUUAAUUAAUGUUAAUGCAGUCCACAGACAAUAGGCAAUUUGAAUAGUAGUAAACUUGUACUUCAUGACAUGAUGCCGCACAUUCUUUAAUCCUUGAUUUUCAGAUAUUUUGACUGUCUGUAGAGUUCAUCACUUAUUUUCAAAUACUGUUUACGUGUUGAGGAAAUAAGAGGAAGGGCCCCAGACUUUCAGUGUCAACUGUGUGCUAUGCCCAUGUGCCACUUGGUGAGAGCAACAAUGAACAAUUCACCUUAGAGCCCCAUGUUGCGGUUUACUGAGACUUCCUGUCAAUCACAUCAGCCCACCGCAGGCCAGGUGUCUUCCUGUCUCAGUGCACUGAAGGGGUCAAAGUCAAGGAGAAUAUUGUUCUUUAUAAAGAAUACUGUUGUUGUCUUUAACCAAAAUAUGCAUCCAGAAAGGCAUAUUUUCUUUUUUUUUCAUCAAUCAAUCAAUCAAUCAAUCAAUCAAUCAAUCAAUCAAUCAAUCAAUCAAUCAAUCAAUCAAUCAAUCAAUCAAUCAAUCAAUCAAUCUUUUUGAAGUCACUUUAAUUCAAUCUGCAUAGGAAAACAAACUCACAUGGCCACUACUCGCAUGUUUUUUUUUUACCAGUGCUCUCUGGAUAACUUUUGGCCUUGUUCUUUUCAAAAUAAAAGCACCGGUCUUUACAACAUUGCAGGAAAUAGAUACGUUGGAUUAGGAUGAUACCUUCAAAGUGAGAUUAACAAUAUCAACCUUUAAUAUGGGUUAUUGAUAAAGACCUUAUACGUUAUAUCUUACCUUUAUAAAUCUUCCAGGAGUGACACAUUUAACAACAUUUUUGUUUUCCCAUUAUUAUUUUGCCCUACAAAGGAUGCUCCUUUCUGAAAGUUUUGUCAGUACCUGGUUUUACUCUGUAGUCAUAUUACAAUGAUAAAUAAAUGAAGCAAAUAAAAACAGAAAAAGUUGGUAAUUAUUUUACUUUUCACGGCUGAUGUCAGCUGCCAACAGUGUAAUCUGUCGUACUGAAGAGGAAAAAAAGCAAAAAACAAACAAACUUUGAUUUAAAGUUAGUUGUCUCUUUUUUGGAUGGCUGGUGUAAAAACCAGAAGAAGAAAAGGAAAAGAAAAUGGACUGAAACAGAAUAGGUAGCUGAUCAGUGUUGAACCAAUAUCAUUUAAUGCAAACUCUAUCAACACCUGACUGAACUACAAGUCGAACUGAUAUAAAACCACAAAAACAGACAAAUUAUUAACCAAUGAAAUGGAACUUUUUCAAGUUUUGCACUCAUUAAAAUCUGCUCCUGAGCUCUUAAUUUCAAGCUUAGUACUGUGGUGCACCAUACAAAAUGAUAUAGGAUAAUAUCAAAGGAAAUAAUGAGGAUAUGAUGGCAUUGUUUUUGCAUUUUAUAUAGGCAUUAGGUCAAAAACUUGACUGUGGGGAAAAUGCAGAAUUAUUCAAACUCAAGCAAAAAGCCCAUGUUUAAGGAUUAGGAGCAACUAUCUUUUAAUUCCAUGUUUCACAACCGAAGAGAGCUUAUCCGUUAUGAACCCUGCCUGCAGCUCAACAAAAUGAAAAUAUGACACAUUUACUGUCCCAAAGUUCAAACUGCAGCCUCCUGUUUUAUUUCAGAAGAUUACUUAAGUCCCUCUGCUUUAGACAUUGCUGUUAUUUCCCACUUGUAGAAAAGUAGGUCCCACAUCUGUGAAUAGAAACAGCAAAAAGCAUGCUCCAUCUCCUGCCUGAUCCUGUGUUAUUAUUUUGUAUCUCGAAUAAUCAAAUCAACAGUCAAUCAAUCAAUCAAUCAAUCAACUCAAAAAAUCAAUCAAUCAAGCGGAUUAAAUUCAAUCAAUCAAUCUUUUUGACAGCCCAGUGACCUCUCUGUGUUAUUUCAUCUCUCAAGGGUUCACUCAGGAAAAAAAAAAUCCACAGAGAUAAGAAAGAAAAAAAAAACAGUGUUCUAACCAGGCUCGGCUUUGUGACGUCUCCGUCACAUCUGCUUGUAAUCCCAUCAUGCCUUCAGAGAGAAAAUCCCCUUUUCUUCCUCCUCCACACAGAACCAGGUGAUGAAGGAGACGAGUUUAGCCGGCAAAUGACUCUCUGUCUUUGUAGCUUGUGUUUAAUAUGUUUGCCUUGCAUAUUUGUGUGUGUAUGUGUUUGUGUGUGUUACAGAGAACUGU